CGGAUCCUCUCCUCCACCUCCAUCCUCCACCUCUCCGGUCGCCCGGUUGCAACGCAGCAGCUCCUUCCUACCUUCCAUGGACGAGCUCGACGGAGACGCCGUCCAGCCCGACCACGGCCACGACUACCCCACGCACAAGAAAGGUAGUUAUUGUGAAUUGAUGUUCGCACUGAGGCCGGAGGUGAGAGGCGAGGGCACGAAGGUCGGCGGCAAGUGCUCAGGAGAGAAGAGGAAGGCGGCGGUGGCUGCGGUUUACACGAGAGCGAGAUGACCUGCCCAGAAAGGUAGUUACAGUGAAUUGAUGUUCAUAUGAACUUCAAUGCUGUGACGUUUUUAUUAGAUCUGAGUUGCAAUCCUCAAUUUUUCUAGGUUUGAGUAGCAAUGCUCCUGCUCUACUAGCUAUGACAUUUUCCAUGUUUUUUCUUCUAAUAUCAUAUAGCCUCCAUGCUUAUGGGUUCAACUUGACAAGCUUUUUUCAUCUUGCAUCCUGUUUUAAGCUCUGUUGAUGCUUGAUUUCUGCCAUGUUUAUGGAGGGAGAGGACGCCAAGUACUAGGAGAAGGAUCAGUUUAGCAAGUACAGGCUAUUGCUGAGAAGCGCAACCUUUUGAUCUUUGAGAACCGCAAGUUUGCUGACAUUGAAAACACAUUCAUUAUGCAAGACGAAUGGUGAGAAAUGUGCUAUUCCCUAUCCUUCCAUUCUAUUUGCAUAUUCGUGUAGUGUGCUUAGUUUUUUUCCUUUCAAGAUGAAUAUUCUACACAUGAGAGCAAUAUACUUGGUAUUAUUGAUGCUCAUAUAAUUCCUGGACCUGGAAUUGUUGAUGGCUUGAGGCUUAAAGUAUGUUAUGUGUUGCAUACCUAAUAAAUAUUAGCAAGUUAAUGUUGCAGCUUGACAGCUAAAAUUAUUAGUUAGCAAAUAUACAUAGCUCAUUCACAUUUUAGUUCCCUAAUAUGUGGGUUUUCUACACAUGAUGUGUGCAGAUCUGUGAAAGAAGAGAUGAAGAACAAUUUUAGCUGAAGAGUUGAAGAAGACCAAGGUGAAUU